UGAACGCUGGCGGCAGGCUUAACACAUGCAAGUCGAACGGUAACAGGAAGCAGCUUGCUGCUUGCUGACGAGUGGCGGACGGGUGAGUAAUGUCUGGGAAACUGCCUGAUGGAGGGGGGAUAACUACUGGAAACGGUAGCUAAUACCGCAUAACGUCGCAAGACCAAAGAGGGGGACCUUCGGGCCUCUUGCCAUCAGAUGUGCCCAGAUGGGAUUAGCUUGUUGGUGGGGUAACGGCUCACCAAGGCGACGAUCCCUAGCUGGUCUGAGAGGAUGACCAGCCACACUGGAACUGAGACACGGUCCAGACUCCUACGGGAGGCAGCAGUGGGGAAUAUUGCACAAUGGGCGCAAGCCUGAUGCAGCCAUGCCGCGUGUAUGAAGAAGGCCUUCGGGUUGUAAAGUACUUUCAGCGGGGAGGAAGGUGUUGUGGUUAAUAACCACAGCAAUUGACGUUACCCGCAGAAGAAGCACCGGCUAACUCCGUGCCAGCCGCAGC
rnacentral:rRNA from 1 species